rnacentral:rRNA from 1 species
AGCAGCCGCGGUAAUUCCAGCUCCAAUAGCGUAUAUUAAAGUUGUUGCAGUUAAAAAGCUCGUAGUUGAAUUUCGGGAUCAAUUAAUUGGUCGUGCCUCUGGUACGUACUGAUUUUAUUGGUUUCUCCCUUCUGACGAACCAUGAUGUCAUUAAUUUGGUGUCGUGGGGAAUCAGGACUGUUACUUUGAAAAAAUUAGAGUGUUUAAAGCAAGCUAACGCUUGAAUACAUUAGCAUGGAAUAAUGAAAUAGGACGUUUGAUCCUAUUUUGUUGGUUUCUAGGAUCGACGUAAUGAUUAAUAGGGAUAGUUGGGGGCAUUAGUAUUCAAUUGUCAGAGGUGAAAUUCUUGGAUUUAUUGAAGACUAACUACUGCGAAAGCAUUUGCCAAGGAUGUUUUCAUUAAUCAAGAACGAAAGUUAGGGGAUCGAAGACGAUCAGAUACCGUCGUAGUCUUAACCAUAAACUAUGCCGAC